ACUGCUCAGUAACACGUGGAUAACCUGCCCUUGGGUCCGGCAUAACCCCGGGAAACUGGGGAUAAUUCCGGAUAACGCAUAUGUGCUGGAAUGCUUUAUGCGUAAAAUGGAUUCGUCUGCCCAAGGAUGGGUCUGCGGCCUAUCAGGUAGUAGUGGGUGUAAUGUACCUACUAGCCGACAACGGGUACGGGUUGUGAGAGCAAGAGCCCGGAGAUGGAUUCUGAGACAUGAAUCCAGGCCCUACGGGGCGCAGCAGGCGCGAAAACUUUACAAUGCGGGAAACCGUGAUAAGGGGACACCGAGUGUCAGCAUCAUAUGCUGGCUGUCCAGGUGUGUAAAAUACACCUGUUAGCAAGGGCCGGGCAAGACCGGUGCCAGCCGCCGCGGUAACACCGGCGGCCCGAGUGGUGAUCGUGAUUAUUGGGUCUAAAGGGUCCGUAGCCGGUUUGGUCAGUCCUCCGGGAAAUCUGAUAGCUCAACUAUUAGGCUAUCGGGGGAUACUACCAGACUUGGAACCGGGAGAGGUAAGAGGUACUACAGGGGUAGGAGUGAAAUCUUGUAUCCCUGUGGGACCACCUGUGGCGAAGGCGUCUUACCAGAACGGGUUCGACGGUGAGGGACGAAAGCUGGGGGCACGAACCGGAUUAGAUACCCGGGUAGUCCCAGCCGUAAACGAUGCUCGCUAGGUGUCAGGCAUGGCGCGACCAUGUCUGGUGCCGCAGGGAAGCCGUGAAGCGAGCCACCUGGGAAGUACGGCCGCAAGGCUGAAACUUAAAGGAAUUGGCGGGGGAGCAC
rnacentral:rRNA from 1 species